rnacentral:rRNA from 1 species
CACGUAGGCACCAAGCGUUGUCCGGAUUUAUUGGGCGUAAAGAGCUCGUAGGCGGUUCAGUAAGUCGGGUGUGAAAACUUUGGGCUUAACCCAAAGCGUGCAUCUGAUACUGCUGUGACUUGAGUUCGGUAGGGGAGUGGGGAAUUCCUAGUGUAGCGGUGAAAUGCGCAGAUAUUAGGAGGAACACCGGUGGCGAAGGCGCCACUCUGGGCCGAAACUGACGCUGAGGAGCGAAAGCAUGGGUAGCGAACAGG